UGCCGCAAUUGCAACAGUACUUUUAAUAAUUCCCUAGCAAAGUAACUUCAGCAAGGAAUACGAAAUGACAAAGAGGCCCCUGGAAGGAGACAAAGUGACAGGACUCAGUUCCAAAGGAGAAGUGCUACCUCAUCCCCCGGCACAAGCCACUGCCCUUUUGGCACUUUAAACAGUGUCCAUUUCACUAAAAUACCCCUUCCUCCGCAACUAAGCGAGAGCGUUGGAACAUGGCCAAGUCCACCGCUCCUCCGGAUAAUUAUGGUCACAGUCCAGUUCACUACGCCGUCGCAUUGGGCGACCACACCACCCUCUCCAGAAUCAUAUCCUCACUCCCUCGUCUCCCCGAUCCCUCUCUUAUUCAAACAGAAUCCGAUUCCCUCGCUCAAGAAAAAAUCGCCGAUCAGAUCUCCCUCGUCCUCGACCGCCGCGACGUUCCUUAUGGAGAAACCCCUCUCCACCUCGCCGUCCGACUCAACGACCUUUUUUCCGCCCGCGCCCUCGCCACCGCCGGCGCCGACGUCUCCCUCCAGAACUCCGCCGGCUGGAACGCUUUGCAGGAGGCGCUAUGCCGCCGCGCCUCCGACAUCGCGCUCGUCCUCCUCCGCCUUCACCAUCGCAACGCCUGGUCCAAGUGGCGCCGUCGCCUCCCGCGGGUCAUCGCCGCGCUACGCCGCAUGCGUGACUUCUACAUGGAGAUCUCCUUCCACUUCGAGAGCUCCCUCAUUCCCUUCGUCGGAAAGAUCGCUCCCUCCGACACCUACAAAAUCUGGAAGCGAGACGGCAACCUCCGCGCUGACACCUCUCUCGCCGGCUUCGACGGCCUCAAGAUCCAGCGCGCCGACCAGAGCUUCCUCUUCCUUGGAGACGGCGAUCACACGCACGACGUCCCCUCCGGUUCGCUCCUCGUCCUCAACCGCGACGACCGCAAAAUCUUCGACGCCUUCGAGAACGCCGGAGGACCGAUGAACGAGUCCGACCUCGCCGGAUUCUGCUCGCAGACUAGCGUGUACCGUCCUGGCAUGGACGUGACGAAGGCAGAGCUUGUAGGCAGAAUGAAUUGGCGAAGGCAAGAGAAAACAGAGAGCGUGGGAGAGUGGAAGGCGAAGGUGUACGAAAUGCACAACGUGGUUUUCAGUUUCCGGUCACGGAAAGUGGCCGGCAGCGAGUCUGACGUGGCAGGGAGCGAGCAGGUGCUGCCGUUGGAACUGGACGAAGACGACGACGGUUUUCUCGUUGCGGAGAAUCCGAAUUUCGGGUUCCCAAUGCCAGACAAGAGAAGACACAGUAGCUUCGUUCGAGAAGAGACAGAGUGGGUCCCAAUGGGAAGGAAAAGCCUCGACCUAACGUCCGUAACGGCCCCACAGCCGCGAAGCGUGACCAUGCCUACUCAGACCAAGGAAAAGGAGUACGUUAGAAGCUUACGGCCGUCAGUGUGGCUAACGGAGCAGUUUCCGUUAAAGACCGAGGAGCUUCUGCCGUUACUCGACAUACUCGCCAAUAAGGUCAAAGCAGUGAGGAGGCUUAGAGAGUUACUCACUACCACGUUCCCGCCGGGAACUUUCCCCGUUAAGGUGGCUAUACCGGUGGUCCCUACAGUGAGGGUGGUGAUUACGUUCACAAAGUUCGUGGAGCUGCAACCUCUGGAGCAAUUCUACACUCCAUUCUCCAGUCCAAGGCAUUUGCUCAGUGCCGCAGGGGCAGGCAGAGGAGAUGAGGAACAGAGCAAAGCAGAAAACAGGUGCUCUUCUUCGAGCUCAUCAACGUGGCUGAGACGAAAUAAUAGCGUGUCGAAUAAACAACGAUGUAUGGCAUUUGAUUCAGACCCUUUUAAGAUUCCUGCGGGAUACACAUGGACCAGUGUGGAUGAUAAAUCUCGUAAAAUGAAGAAAUCCAAGUCCGUCAGAAAGCCUAAGUAAGCCAAUGGAGUUAGGUGUUUUUAACGUUCAAUAUGUAGAUAGAUAUUCCGUCUAUUUUUUUUACUCAACUGGGGCUUGGGGUGGAGAGGUAAAUGGUGUUCGUUCACAAAGAAGCUGGAGCUUCCAAUUGAAUCACCGAAAAGAUUAUGGUCUUAUCUCAUACGGGCAAUAUUUGAUGUUGCGAUAUUGGUCCGUCAAGAUUACUCACACUUUUAGAGAAGGGAAUAGGACAGCUGAUUCAUUAGCACCAACAGCUCACCAUUUUGGAGAGUCUUGUGUUUUUUGAUAGCCCGCCCGAGGAACGUAAUGUAAGAACCUCUUUGACUGGAUUUAUUAGGGACUUCAUAGAUCUGUGAGAAUGGAGAUUCUCUGUCCAGUUAAUAAUAAAGAAAAAGGUUUUCGUUUCCUCGA